CAAGUCGAGCGUGAAGCGGGACUUCGGUCCCGUGGAAAGCGGCGAACGGGUGCGUAACACGUGAGCAACCUGCCCCGAAGACUGGGAUAACCCGAGGAAACUCGGGCUAAUACCGGAUGUCCUCUCCCGACCACAUGAUUGGAAGAGGAAAUGUUCAGGCGCUUCGGGAUGGGCUCGCGGUCUAUCAGCUUGUUGGUGGGGUAACGGCCUACCAAGGCGACGACGGAUAGCUGGUCUGAGAGGACGAUCAGCCACACUGGGACUGAGACACGGCCCAGACUCCUACGGGAGGCAGCAGUAGGGAAUCUUGCGCAAUGGGGGAAACCCUGACGCAGCGACGCCGCGUGCGGGAUGAAGGCCUUCGGGUUGUAAACCGCUUUCAGCAGGGACGAAAUUGACGGUACCUGCAGAAGAAGGCCCGGCCAACUACGUGCCAGCAGCCGCGGUAAUACGUAGGGGCCUAGCGUUGUCCGGAUUUAUUGGGCGUAAAGAGCUCGUAGGCGGUUCGGUAAGUCAGGUGUGAAAUCUCCACGCUCAACGUGGAGGCGCCACCUGAAACUGCCGUGACUCGAGUCCGGUAGGGGAGUGUGGAAUUCCCGGUGUAGCGGUGAAACGCGCAGAUAUCGGGAGGAACACCAGUGGCGAAGGCGGCACUCUGGGCCGGUACUGACGCUGAGGAGCGAAAGCGUGGGGAGCGAACAGGAUUAGAUACCCUGGUAGUCCACGCCGUAAACGUUGGGCACUAGGUGUGGGACUCUAUCGACGGGUUCCGUGCCGUAGCUAACGCAUUAAGUGCCCCGCCUGGGGA
rnacentral:rRNA from 1 species